rnacentral:rRNA from 1 species
UUGGAGGGCAAGUCUGGUGCCAGCAGCCGCGGUAAUUCCAGCUCCAAUAGCGUAUAUUAAAGUUGUUGCAGUUAAAAAGCUCGUAGUUGAAUUUUAGGCCUGGCCGGGCGGUCCGUCUUUGGCGAGUACUGUCUGUUGUUGGGUCUUCCUUCUGGUGAACCAGUAUGUCCUUUAUUGGGUGUGUUGGGGAGCCAGGACCAUUACCUUGAAAAAUUAGAGUGUUUAAAGCGGGCUAUUGCUUGAAUAGAUUAGCAUGGAAUAAUAGAAUAGGACGUUGUGGUUCUAUUUUGUUGGUUCCUAGGACCACCGUAAUGAUUAAUAGGGAUAGUUGGGGGCAUUAGUAUUCAAUUGUCAGAGGUGAAAUUCUUGGAUUUAUUGAAGACUAACUAUUGCGAAAGCAUUUGCCAAGGAUGUUUUCAUUAAUCAAGAACGAAAGUUAGGGGAUCGAAGACGAUCAGAUACCGUCGUAGUCUUAACCAUAAACUAUGCCGACUAGGAAUCGGGCGUCGUUAUUUUAAUGACUCGCUCGGCGCCUUACGGGAAAC